UACAGAGGGUGCGAGCGUUGUCCGGAAUCACUGGGCGUAAAGGGCGCGUAGGCGGCCUGAUAAGUAGGGGGUGAAAUCCUGUGGCUUAACUGCAGGGCUGCCUCCUAGACUGUUAGGCUCGAGCACGGUAGAGGCAGAUGGAAUUCCCGGUGUAGCGGUGGAAUGCGUAGAGAUCGGGAAGAACAUCGGUGGCGAAGGCGGUCUGCUGGGCCGUUGCUGACGCUGAGGAGCGAAAGCAUGGGGAGCGAACAGG
rnacentral:rRNA from 1 species